rnacentral:rRNA from 1 species
GACGAACGCUGGCGGCGUGCCUAAUACAUGCAAGUCGAACGCAGUGGGUACGGGUUAGUAACACGUUGGUAACCUCCCAUCAGAGGGGAUAACACUUGGAAACAGUUGCUAAACCGCUACUGAUGGAUGAACCCGCGGUGCAUUAGCUAGUUGGUGAGGUAACGGCUCACCAAGGCUACGAUGCAUAGCCGACCUGAGAGGGUGAUCGGCCACACUGGGACUGAGACACGGCCCAGACUCCUACGGGAGGCAGCAGUAGGGAAUCUUCGGCAAUGGACGAAAGUCUGACCGAGCAACGCCGCGUGAGUGAAGAAGGUUUUCGGAUCGUAAAGCUCUGUUGUUAGAGAAGCGGUAUCUAACCAGAAAGCAACGGCUAACUACGUGCCAGCCGCCGCGGUAAUUC